CACUGAUGCACUAUACUCGGUGACUAUGCCCAGUUUGGGCUGGCCACGGAAGCAAAACAGAUCAAACUUCCUUAGCCUGGAAUGGAGGCCGCCUGGGGAUAGGAGGUGCUACAGGCA
rnacentral:rRNA from 1 species